GCCCUUGUAGCUCAGCGGUAGAGCAGCGGUUUUGUAAACCGAAGGUCGCGGGUUCAAUCCCUGCCGGGGGCA
rnacentral:tRNA from 1 species